AGAGUUUGAUCCUGGCUCAGAGCGAACGUUAGCGGCGGGCCUAACACAUGCAAGUCGAACGGGCUGUAGCAAUACAGUCAGUGGCGCACGGGUGAGUAACGCGUAGAUAAUCUACCUUCCGGCGGGGGAUAACAUUCCGAAAGGAAUGCUAAUACCGCAUAAGACCACGGGGUCCUCGGGCCCUGAGGGAAAAGGAGGCCUCUCCUUGGCAGCCAUCACCGGAAGAUGAGUCUGCGUCCCAUCAGCUAGUUGGUAAGGUAAUGGCUUACCAAGGCGAAGACGGGUAGCUGGUCUGAGAGGAUGAUCAGCCACACUGGUACUGGAACACGGACCAGACUCCUACGGGAGGCAGCAGUGGGGAAUAUUGGGCAAUGGGCGAAAGCCUGACCCAGCCACGCCGCGUGAGUGAUGAAGGCCUUCGGGUUGUAAAGCUCUGUGGGAAGGGGCGAAAAACUCAGACCUAAUACGUCUGAGGUUGACGGUACCUUCUUAGCAAGCACCGGCUAACUCUGUGCCAGCAGCCGCGGUAAGACAGAGGGUGCAAACGUUGCUCGGAUUUACUGGGCGUAAAGCGCGUGUAGGCGGGCGAAUAAGUCGGGUGUGAAAUCCCUGGGCUCAACCUAGGAACUGCAUCCGAAACUGUUCACCUGGAGUGAUGGAGAGGAAGGCGGAAUUCCCGGUGUAGAGGUGAAAUUCGUAGAUAUCGGGAGGAACACCAGUGGCGAAGGCGGCCUUCUGGACAUUUACUGACGCUGAGACGCGAAAGCGUGGGGAGCAAACAGGAUUAGAUACCCUGGUAGUCCACGCUGUAAACGAUGAGUGCUGGGUGUUUCGGGUAUUGACCCCCGAGGCGCCGUAGCUAACGCGUUAAGCACUCCGCCUGGGGAGUACGGCCGCAAGGCUAAAA
rnacentral:rRNA from 1 species